rnacentral:rRNA from 1 species
AACUGGGGCUAAUACCGGAUAGUAGCUCCUGCUGCAUGGUGGGGGUUGGAAAGUUUCGGCGGUUGGGGAUGGACUCGCGGCUUAUCAGCUUGUUGGUGGGGUAGUGGCUUACCAAGGCUUUGACGGGUAGCCGGCCUGAGAGGGUGACCGGCCACAUUGGGACUGAGAUACGGCCCAG